GAUUUUUACAUGGACAGUUUCUAAAUGCUCAUUUUUUCUCCCUACUACGUUUUGAAAAAUGACUCCGCACUGAUUUCUCGAUGCCUCCUGUCCUAAUUCUCGCCACGCAUCCUCUUCACGCACAUCGAACACCCAGCAAUUUCUCUCCGCGCCCAUUGAAUGGCCGGCGCAAUCUCCUUCUUCCUCCAGCCCUCCCCUGCCCUAACACUCCCCUCCUUCGUCUCUUCGAAAAUAUCGAUGGUGAAACUCUCCUCCUUCCCAGCCCUCCCCUACCUUAAAUCUCCCCUCCUUCGUCUCUUCAAAGAUAUCAGCGGCGAAACCCUCCUCCUUCCCUAGUGAAGGAUUCAACCAACGAAACAAGCUGAUUUGUGAAGUUGCUGGGUUCGCCCCAAGGUAGUUGCCGAUAUACAUCUCAACUCUUCGUGGCACAUAAUUUGCACCUUUCAAAAAAGGGAGUGCAGAUGAAGAACAUUGGUAUGUAUUUCUAGAUCGACAAAAAAUCCCGGAAGGAGGUAUUAUGGAUGUGGACAACAUGACUGGCAAAAAUGGGUGGCAGCCGAUACUUUGUUUGAGGAAAACAGCAGUGAAAUAUGUCAUGGAAGGUUAGGAAGAAUAGAGUCAUGGUUAGAAAGUGAACACCUUGCUUCUUGUGGAUAUAAUUUAGGAAAUUGGAAUGUACCAUCAGUAGUCUGGAUAUUAGUUAUAGUGAAUUUAACUCUUUUGGUCGUGUACCUUAUUACUUUGUUAGUUCGAUCUUGAUAAUUAGUGUUAAGUAAUGUUGUUGUUAUAAUAUGACAGGCUAAAUUUUUGUAAGAAUUAGUUGAAAGUUAAUUGGUUUAUUAGUUCAAGUGGUUAAUUAGUGUGGACUAAUGUUGGUGUUGUAAUGUGAUAGGAUAAUUAGUUUUUAGUUAAGUUGGAUGAUGCGGAACAUGUUAAAUAAUGGUUUGAACCUUUUGUAAUGACUUA